rnacentral:rRNA from 1 species
GACGAACGCUGGCGGCGUGCCUAAUACAUGCAAGUAGAACGCAGUUGCGAACGGGUGAGUAACGCGUAGGUAACUGCCCCAUAGCGGGGGAUAACUUUUGGAAACGAUAGCUAAUACCGCAUACUGCGAGAUGUACCUGCGUUGGAUUGGGUAGUUGGUGAGGUAAAGGGUCACCAAGGCGACGAUACAUAGCCGGCCUGAGAGGGGGGUUGGCCACGCAGGGAAUGAGACACGGCCCAGACUCCUACGGGAGGCAGCAGUAGGGAAUUGUCGGGAAUGGGCGGAAGGCUGACCGAGCAAAGCCGCGGGAGUGAAGAAGGUUUUCGGAUCGUAAAGCUCUGUUGUUAGAGAAACGGUAACUAACCAGAAAGGGACGGCUAACUACGUGCCAGCAGCCGCGGUAAUUC